rnacentral:tRNA from 1 species
GGGGAUAUAGCUUUGUGGCACAAGCACCUGCCUGGCAAGUAGAAGGUCCUAAGUUCGAUUCCUGGUACCCA